rnacentral:rRNA from 1 species
UACGAAGGGGGCUAGCGUUGCUCGGAAUCACUGGGCGUAAAGCGCACGUAGGCGGAUCUUUAAGUCAGGGGUGAAAUCCUGGAGCUCAACUCCAGAACUGCCUUUGAUACUGGGGAUCUCGAGUCCGGGAGAGGUGAGUGGAACUCCGAGUGUAGAGGUGAAAUUCGUAGAUAUUCGGAAGAACACCAGUGGCGAAGGCGGCCACCUGGACGGUAACUGACGCUGAGACGCGAAAGCGUGGGGAGCAAACAGG